UAGUGUAAUGGAAAGCACGUCAGACCGGAUAUCUGUAAGUGCGGGUACGAGUCCCGC
rnacentral:tRNA from 1 species